AUUCCAGCUCCAAUAGCGUAUAUUAAAGUUGUUGCAGUUAAAAAGCUCGUAGUUGGAUUUCAGAGUGAGCUCGUCCGGUCGGCCUAAAUGGUCUGAACUGGUUGACUCUCUCUUGCUUGUGGAUCCCGCCCGGAGUUAACUCUUCGGAUGUGGACUUCACAUCGUUUACCUUGAAAAAAUUAGAGUGUUCAAAGCAGGCGUAUGCUUGAAUAUAUUAGCAUGGAAUAAUGGAAUAGGACCCUGGUUCUAUUUUGUUGGUUUUGAGGACCAGAGUAAUGAUUAAUAGGGAUAGUUGGGGGCAUUCAUAUUUCAUUGUCAGAGGUGAAAUUCUUGGAUUUAUGAAAGAUGAACUUCUGCGAAAGCAUUUGCCAAGGAUGUUUUCAUUA
rnacentral:rRNA from 1 species